rnacentral:rRNA from 1 species
CCUACGGGAGGCAGCAGUGAGGAAUAUUGGUCAAUGGGCGCGAGCCUGAACCAGCCAAGUAGCGUGAAGGAUGACUGCCCUACGGGUUGUAAACUUCUUUUAUAAAGGAAUAAAGUGAGGCACGUGUGCCUUUUUGUAUGUACUUUAUGAAUAAGGAUCGGCUAACUCCGUGCCAGCAGCCGCGGUAAUACGGAGGAUCCGAGCGUUAUCCGGAUUUAUUGGGUUUAAAGGGUGCGUAGGUGGUUAAUUAAGUCAGCGGUGAAAGUUUGUGGCUCAACCAUAAAAUUGCCGUUGAAACUGGUUGACUUGAGUAUAUUUGAGGUAGGCGGAAUGCGUGGUGUAGCGGUGAAAUGCAUAGAUAUCACGCAGAACUCCGAUUGCGAAGGCAGCUUACUAAACUAUAACUGACACUGAAGCACGAAAGCGUGGGGAUCAAACAGGAUUAGAUACCCGGGUAGUC